AACGCGAAGAACCUUACCCAGACUUGACAUGCAGUGGACAGUUCCAGAAAUGGGAUCUCCCUUCGGGGCCGCUGCACAGGUGCUGCAUGGCUGUCGUCAGCUCGUGCCGUGAGGUGUUGGGUUAAGUCCCGCAACGAGCGCAACCCUUAUCAUUAGUUGCCAACACGUGAAGGUGGGAACUCUAAUGAGACUGCCUGGGUUAACCAGGAGGAAGGUGAGGAUGACGUCAAGUCCGCAUGGCCCUUAUGUCUGGGGCUACACACGUGCUACAAUGGUCGGUACAGAAGGCAGCGAAACCGCAAGGCGAAGCAAAUCCCGAAAGCCGGCCUCAGUUCAGAUUGUAGUCUGCAACUCGACUACAUGAAGACGGAAUUGCUAGUAAUGGCGAGUCAGCAACAUCGCCGUGAAUACGUUCCCGGGCCUUGUACACACCGCUGUA
rnacentral:rRNA from 1 species